rnacentral:rRNA from 1 species
AUGAACGCUGGCAGCGUGCCUAAUACAUGCAAGUCGCGCGAACAGACGAGGAGCUUGCUCCUCUGACGUUAGCGGCGGACGGGUGAGUAACACGUGGAUAACCUACCUAUAAGACUGGGAUAACUUCGGGAAACCGGAGCUAAUACCGGAUAAUAUAUUGAACCGCAUGGUUCAAUAGUGAAAGACGGUUUUGCUGUCACUUAUAGAUGGAUCCGCGCCGCAUUAGCUAGUUGGUAAGGUAACGGCUUACCAAGGCGACGAUGCGUAGCCGACCUGAGAGGGUGAUCGGCCACACUGGAACUGAGACACGGUCCAGACUCCUACGGGAGGCAGCAGUAGGGAAUCUUCCGCAAUGGGCGAAAGCUUGACGGAGCAACGCCGCGUGAGUGAUGAAGGUCUUCGGAUCGUAAAACUCUGUUAUUAGGGAAGAACAAAUGUGUAAGUAACUAUGCACGUCUUGACGGUACCUAAUCAGAAAGCCACGGCUAACUACGUG